rnacentral:lncRNA from 1 species
GAGCCAAUUCUAUGUAUACAAAUACAUUAUAGACUGAUAUUGAUACCAUAGACUUAUAUUUCAGUAUUAUUAUAGAUUUUCGUAUAUUUACUUAAAACACACAAUACAAGAUAUUUAUAUAUAUAUAUGUAUAUGCACAAACUACUGUAAAAGAUUAUUAUCUGAUGAAACGGUAUGGUGGUCUCUCAAAUCAAGAGCUUCUUCAAUAUACAUACAAAUAGAUUUUAAUUCCUUUUCAGACAUAGGAUUUAACAUUUUGGUAAAAUUUUCAUCCAAAUUAUUUGAAAUAUUACCAUUUAUUUUAUAUUUAGAUCUAAUGUUUUUAUAUUGCGGACAUUCAAUCAAGAAAUGAAUCUCAUUUUCAAUUUUUUCUGUGCAAAAUUUACAAAAUCUCUCAUUAGAUGGUAUUUUUGGUCUUGCAUACCUCCCAGUUUCUAUUGCUA